rnacentral:rRNA from 1 species
ACUCCUACGGGGGGCUGCAGUGAGGAAUAUUGGACAAUGGGUGGAAGCCUGAUCCAGCCAUCCCGCGUGCAGGAAGACGGCCCUAUGGGUUGUAAACUGCUUUUGUAUAGGGAUAAAUCAUCUUACGAGAUAGGAUGUUGAAGGUACUAUACGAAUAAGCAUCGGCUAACUCCGUGCCAGCAGCCGCGGUAAUACGGAGGAUGCGAGCGUUAUCCGGAUUCAUUGGGUUUAAAGGGUCCGUAGGCGGGCUAAUAAGUCAGUGGUGAAAUCUCACAGCUCAACUGUGAAAUUGCCAUUGAUACUGUUAGUCUUGAGUGAGUUUGAUGUUGCUGGAAUGUGUAGUGUAGCGGUGAAAUGCAUAGAUAUUACACGGAACACCGAAUGCGAAGGCAGGUAACAAAGACUUAACUGACGCUGAUGGACGAAGGCGUGGGGAGCGAACAGGAUUAGAUACCCUGGUAGUCCACGCAGUAAACGAUGCUAACUCGUUUUCGGGGUGAAGAACUUCGGAGACCAAGCGAAAGUGAUAAGUUAGCCACCUGGGGAGUACGUUCGCAAGAAUGAAACUCAAAGGAAUUGACGGGGGCCCGCACAAGCGGUGGAGCAUGUGGUUUAAUUCGAUGAUACGCGAGGAACCUUACCAAGGCUUAAAUGCAUUUUGACGUACCCUGAAAGGGGUAUUUCUUCGGACAGGAUGCAAGGUGAUGCAUGGAUGUCGUCAGCUCGUG